UAGGGAGCAAGCGUUAUCCGGAUUUAUUGGGUGUUAAGGGUGCGUAGACGGGAAAUUAAGUUGGUUGUGAAAUCCCUCGGCCCAACUGAGGAACUGCAACCAAAACUGGUUUUCUUGAGUACUGGAGAGGAAAGUGGAAUUCCUAGUGUAGCGGUGAAAUGCGUAGAUAUUAGGAGGAACACCAGUGGCGAAGGCGACUUUCUGGACAGCAACUGACGUUGAGGCACGAAAGUGUGGGGAGCAA
rnacentral:rRNA from 1 species